rnacentral:rRNA from 1 species
UACGUAGGUGGCAAGCGUUGUCCGGAAUUAUUGGGCGUAAAGCGCACGUAGGCGGCUCGUUAAGUCGGAUGUGAAAGCCCCGGGCUCAACCCGGGAAGUGCAUUCGAAACUGGCGAGCUUGAAUAUGGAAGAGGAUCGCGGAAUUCCCGGUGUAGAGGUGAAAUUCGUAGAUAUCGGGAGGAACACCAGUGGCGAAGGCGGCGAUCUGGGCCAAUAUUGACGCUGAGGUGCGAAAGCGUGGGGAGCAAACAGG